UUAGAAAAAUAGUGUUUGCUAAAGUUUUUAUCCCUUAUUAGGGUUUCGUUUGGUUCGGGUAUAAGCAAGAACUAGUUAUUAUAGGGAUAGAUACAAAUAUGGGGAUAAAAAAAAUAAAAUUGGGUUAUUUCCGGAGAUAAGAAAAAUAACGUUUGGAUAUAUAAUAUAGAAUAAGAAAAAUAGUGAGUUUUUAUAUAUAGAAAAUGAAGGUGUUGGUGGGAAUAAUUAUACCAGCUUAUUUCAGAUAUUCGAGAAUUACUAUUCUCGGGUAAAAAUUUACGUUUGGGUAUAAAAGGGAAGAUAAGGAAUUAUCCCUCUCCUUAUAAAGGUGCAUAAGUUUUGUUAUUUCGUGGUGACACUAUUAUAGAUCCAAGAAUUAAAAAAUUGAUAGUAAAUGUAUAGUAGUCAUCUACUAUAUACCAAUAGUGU
rnacentral:lncRNA from 1 species